GUGAAAUUUUAUUUCAUACCAACUUUUUUUAUCACUGUUUUCCCUACAUUUUGGAAGUAAGGGGAUUUUAGGCCCAAAAAAUUGCAAAGUAGUGGGCGUGACGAUUACUGAAACUGAAAGCUGGGCUGAGUGAAAUGCUUUACCAUCAGCAGACAUUGUGCUUUGUCUGUUGGAAUCAUUGAAAUUAAGCCUCUUCUAUCUGAGCAGCACUGCAGCCCUGACAAACACUUCCUGUCCUUAAGAUUGUGUAUCAGUGGAAGCGAUCCAAACAGUGAAACCUUGCGACACUCUAGAUUUCACUAAGAGGAGCUUGCAGUCCUCCAGUAGUCUUGACUAGUCUGCUACUUCUCAGAUGGGAAAGAACUUCGAAGACCCCCAUCUCCCCCUUAGAGGAGCCACUUUAAAUAGAGAUAACCACACUGAGGUCAGUCUUCAGAGCAGUCUAUGAGAACAUGCACUCACAAGACUGACUGACAUGAGAUCACUCUCUCCUCUCAUUCCUACACGUUUAUG
rnacentral:lncRNA from 1 species